rnacentral:rRNA from 1 species
UACGGGGGGGGCAAGCGUUGUUCGGAAUUACUGGGCGUAAAGGGCUCGUAGGCGGCCAACUAAGUCAAACGUGAAAUCCCACGGCUCAACCGUGGAAGUGCACUCGAAACUGCGUAGCUAGAGUCCUGGAGAGGAAGGUGGAAUGCUUGGUGUAGAGGUGAAAUUCGUAGAUAUCAAGCGGAACACCGGUGGCGAAGGCGGCCUUCUGGACAGUGACUGACGCUGAGACGCGAAAGCGUGGGGAGCAAACAGG